AAUAGUAACUCCUCUUAAGAGGAAUGUAUUGCUGUAAAGGUAUUAUGCUUUUGUUGGAUUAUACUGGGUGUGUUCUUCAUAUGGACCCCGGGAAGAGUAGUUGUUGCCACGGUAACCACUAAGUGAUAAAUGAAACAAUAAGAAAUUAGUGCAAUUACUUGCAUACCUCCUGAGUUGUGCUUUAGCCCUCAGCAGGAUUACAGAAAAACUACUGGCUGGAUUUUUAUGAUUCUUGGUGGACGGGUGGAGCAUAGGAGGAAGAAGGAAGACCCAUUACAUUUUGGAGCAGAUAUGAAACACGCUCCCUUCAGACUCCACCCUGCCGCUCUGCAGGUGGCUUCUUGUGUGACGUCCCCUCUGCAGCUAACUGGAGCGAAACAGUGAAGGAGGGCAUGAUGAACGGCUCUGUCCAGGCAUCAUUAAGCUCAGUCUAAUUCAGAGAGAACCUUACCUUUCCAUCCCAUCACAACUCUUUAACUUCAAUCUGAACAUUUUGCAAAUUGGGUCUAGUAGUCAAACGUCAAGGAGUGACUUUGUCUGCUGCUGCUGCUGCCUAUUCUCCAUCAACUCUUCAAGCCGAGUUGUCAUGGAAACCUGAUUUGAGAAUGCAGUCAAGGUACCGGGAUGAUGGUGAAUGAUACUCCACAUAUCCAUCAAAUAGAGGGCAAAUGGGGAGAUUCUGAUGAGUUUCUAAAGAGACUGUGAGCACUUCCCCACAGGAAACUCUCAGUUUGGAUAUAUGGGUUUGAACAGGAAGCUGCAGCUGGAAGCUCGUUGAUUACUCAUUUCUUGUUGAGCAAACAUUUCAAUAUCAAGAUGAAUAGAAGUGAAAUUGCAUAUUCAAAUCA